GGGGAAACCCACUCGCAUAAGCGAGUAUCGCUGCGUGAAUACAUAGCGCAGCGAGGCGAACCGGGGGAACUGA
rnacentral:tRNA from 1 species